UGGCCUAGUGGUUAAGGCUAUGGAUCGCCAAUCCGGAGAUGGCGGGUUCGAUUCCCGU
rfam:Aedes albopictus isolate Foshan contig75731, whole genome shotgun sequence.